rnacentral:tRNA from 1 species
CGUCUAGCUCCAGUUGGUAGAGCGCAAGGCUCUUAACCUUGUGGUCCUGGGUUCGAGCCCCAGGUGGGCGA